CCUACGGGAGACAGCAGUGGGGAAUAUUGCACAAUGGGCGAAAGCCUGAUGCAGCAACGCCGCGUGAGCGAUGAAGGCCUUAGGGUCGUAAAGCUCUGUCCUCAAGGAAGAUAAUGACGGUACUUGAGGAGGUAGCCCCGGCUAACUACGUGCCAGCAGCCGCGGUAAUACGUAGGGGGCUAGCGUUAUACGGAUUUACUGGGCGUAAAGGGUGCGUAGGUGGUUUCUUAAGUCAGAGGUGAAAGGCUAGGGCUCAACCGUAGUAAGCCUUUGAAACUGGGAAACUUGAGUGCAGGAGAGGAGAGUGGAAUGCGUAGUGUAGCGGUGAAAUGCGUAGAUAGCAGGAAGAACACCAGUUGCGAAGGCGGCUCUCUGGACUGUAACUGACACUGAGGCACGAAGGCGUGGGGAGCAAACAGGAUUAGAUACCCCAGUAGUC
rnacentral:rRNA from 1 species